rnacentral:lncRNA from 10 species
AAGGUUCAGGAAUAUGAUACCUUUCUGAGAAACCAAAUGAACCCAAAUUUCAAUGGUCUGGUGCGUACAGAGAAACCAGGGAUAUGAGUGAGAAAUGAAGGAAGGCUGUGGCGCCCCUCUCCACCCUCUCCCUUUCCCCACCGGCUGGAAGAUGCUCCUGUCCAAAUGGGAAAUUGAGGCCAAAAUAGCACAAUAAAGGAAAGGAAGCGCUCCAGGAGCAGAUGGGCUCCCACUCACCGUCCUGAGGAAUGUGCUGACUAUUCAGGAACAGGCCUUUGGCAGUCACUUAACACAAUCACGAAGCAAAGGGAAAUGAUCAAGUCUGUCACCAGGGUCAGUGCCAAUUUGUUUAAGAACGUGGUGAGGCUGAAAAGGAGGAUGUGGGGAAUGGGAGGCCCCGAACAUUCCUGGAGCCAGUUUGCAAAACCUCCCGGGCAGCAAUCCCAGUUAUGCCGGGAAAGGCCAGAGGCUUCUGGGGUUCUUGGAGGAAGCCUUUCCAGUUCCUCUCUCCUGGGGCCCAGGGCUUGUAGCCCCAGAUCAACCUCCCAGCCAGCCUGGACUCUCCUCCUGACCACAUUCAUCUCAAGGACAAGAGCACCUGCUGCAGCCAUCUCCACAAUAAAGGGGAGAAUGCAACAGCUCCUCUGGGUGCCAACUGAGGACACUGCCGAUUCUGGGGCUGCAGUCUCAAGCUGCUGAGCCUACGUGAACAAAGUCAAGGCAACUGCGGCAUGGUCACUCUGUGGUGAAACCACUCUUCAAUGAAGGCUCCCACUAAAGAGUCCCCAAAGGGGAAGAGAUUCAUUCACUGAUUCAUUCGUUCAUUGAACAGCUUGUAUCAAGAGCCUAUUAUGUUGCCAGGCACUGUGCUAGGUGCUGGAUUGAAGAAGGUAUGCUCCCUGCCCUGGAGGAAUUUGCAAUUAGAUAUGAGGGAAAGCCCCCAGACAGGUACCAACAGUCCACUUUUGACAAGUGUCAUAGCCAUAAAAAGUAUGUCCCAAGCUUUGUGGGGUCACUGAAGAGGGAUCAUCCUCUCUCUGAGGCAGGAGAAUACAUUCUGGAGGCAGGGAACCUAAGGCCGUUUCACGCUGAGUUCCUAGAACUAAAUUGAAAGGAGAACCCUAACUUUCCAUGCCUAAGUAACAAAAGGACCAGAGGCUACUCCCUUUGCAAGCUCCCAGCUUUUCUGCGUGGCCGAUGGGAAAUUGAAAGUACCUAUGAUUGGUUGUUAGACAUUUGCAUAGGAGUGUAACUUUGAAACUUCACUUCAGCCUCUGUAGGCUGUCCACAACCAAUCAGACUGAUUGCGGGUCAAGUCUUCGUUUGCAUAGAAGUGCAACAUUGUAACUUCACUUGAGCCUCUGAUUGGUUGCAGACAGCAACCAAUCAGAUCUUUGCAUAAAAGUGUGACCUUUGUAACUUCACUUCAGCCUCUGAUUGGUUGCAAUAAGACUGGUUGCAGACCACCACUUCAUUUACAUGGGGUGAACACCAAGUGGCCAAUGGGAAACCUCUAGUGGGUAUUUGGACCCGAGAAGUUUCUGUAUCUGGGCCCUUGAGUGGCUGCUCGGGCCCGUUCCCACGCUUUGGAGUGUACUGUCGUUUUCAAUAAAUCUCUGCUUUUGUUGUUUCAUUCUUUCCUGCUUUGUUUGUGUGUUUUGUCCAAUUCUUUGUUCAAAACACGGAGAACAUGGACACCCUCCACCGAUAACACCUCCAUCCAUCUUAACGCUGUUAGGUGGUCGGAGAUGGCUAUACAGAAAAAGUGACAUUUCAGAUGGAUUUUGAACGAUGUGUAGGAAUUCCUUGCAGGGAGAAGGUGUGAGUUCAAGCAGGGGAAACCUAAUAUGUAGAGGCACUGGUUUGCAAAGGGGUGUGAGCACUUUUAGGGACUGGUUCUAAGUUCAGCGUGUCUGGAGCACCCGUUAAGAAAAGGAGUAUCAGGAACUGAGGAUGAGGAGGCACGUCAGGGCUGGGCUGGAAAGUGCACCCUGGAUGUAAUUCUCUAGGCAACUGAGAACCAACAGAUGAAAAUUUCUCAGUGUCCAGACAGAAGACUUUCUGAUUUUGUCUGGAAUGGGGCCUGGGAAUCUGAGAUACACGGUCUUCUUUUUCCUUCCUUCCUUCCUUCCUUCCUUCCUUCCUUUCUUUCUUUCUUUUUCUUUUCUUUCUUUCUUUCUCUGUUUCUCUCUUUCUCUUUCUUCUUUCUCUUUCUUUCUCUGUUUCUCUCUUUCUCUCUUUC